rnacentral:ncRNA from 1 species
GUUGGGUUAGGUUUUAUUUAGGUUUUUAUAAAGUUUUAUUGUGGCUUUGUAGUUUCUUAGUUGAUCGGUGUAUAUAUGACUUUUAAGGUUAUUGUUCUAGAGGAUUAUUAUUGUAGUAUUCAAUUUUAAGUAUUAACUUAGGUUAGACUUGGGGAUUUGAUUUAGUACAAACAUAAUUUGUGCCAGCAGUAGCGGUUAUACAAAUUGUGCUUAGGAAUUUUUUUAAGGUCAGUGAGGUGUAGAAUUUUGAGCUGGUAUUUGAAUUUUUUAGGUGAAAUUUUAUGUUCAAUUUAAGCUUGGGAUUUGUUUCUUUAUUUGGGAAAUUUUUAUUUAGACUAGGAUUAGAUACCCUAUUAUUAUUAAUGUGAAUUAAGUGUCUUUAGUUAUUAGUAGUUAUGUUCUUUAAAGUUAAAAAAUUUGGCGGUAUUUUAGUCUGUUCAGAGGAACCUGUCUUUUGAUCGAUAGUCCACGAUUAUUUUAACUUCAGUUAAUUAAUUUAUAUAUCGUUGUUUACAAAAAUUUUAGGAGGAUUAAUAAUUUUUAGUAUUUGGUAUUGCGUUGUAUUUCAGAUCAAGGUGUAGUUUAUAUUGGAGUUAAGAUGGGUUACAUUAUUUUUAAAUGUGGUUUUAGGUUUUAUAAGCUUGGAUAAAUUGGAUUUGAUAGUAAAUUAUUAAUUUAUGUUUUUUGAUUUAGCUCUAAAAUAUGCACAUAUCGCCCGUCGCUUUCACUUUAACGUGAAAUAAGUCGUAACAAAGUAGGCUUAUUGGAAGAUGUGCCUGGAAUGA